GAAGCCGAGAUGUUGAUAGGUUACAGGGAGAGUUUCGUGUACCGCAAGAAACAGAAUUGUAAUUCCUAUGGAAGUAUACUUGGUUCAUGACUCAGUAUUAUUCCCUUUGCGAUGAUCACAGCUUUGUCUUGUGCAGGAUCCGACACCAGAGAAGAUAGAUGGAAGAUGGUGUUUUCUUAAGGUUUAGCUGAUGCAUUUGAUACGCUUGUGAUUGGUUUUCUUUUCA